rnacentral:rRNA from 1 species
GCAUUAGGGCAACCUCUUGGUACGCCACGCAUUAGGUCCUAGUCUCGGUGUGCGCGCCCGAGGCUGAGGGUGGGUGGUGUGCGGGUCGGCGGCCGUGCGCGCGCGCGCGCGUGCGGUGUCUGUCUGCGCCGGCCGGCCUCUGGCGCGGUGCGUACGAGGAGGGGGCGGACGAGGGGCGCGUGGCGGAGGAGCGGCCGCCGGGGGCGGGAGAGGAGGAGGAGGGUGCGGCGGCGGAGCGGGGGGCCGGCGGGCGGCGGCAGAGGUACAGGAGGAGGCGCCGGCGGCGGGCGGCGUCCCCCGGCGACGCCCCCCACCACAAGCUGUACCUGCCGUGGGACUGCCACGGGCAGUAGCUGAAGGGCCGGUACAUGGCGCUCCACGAGCCGCCCCUCCGCCGGAUGCGGCGCCGCGCGCUCCGGCCGCCUCCGCGGCAGCUGUAGGAGGUGACGUAGCUCCGGACCCCGGGGCUGCUCGUCGCGGCGCGGAUGCUCCGGUAGCGGGCCAAGCUCGCGCUGCCGGAGNNNNNNNNNNNNNNNNNNNNNNCCCGGAGCCUCGAGACGCCCAAGGAGCUGCGCUCCGUCUAGUCCUCCCCAGAUUAGUGGGCGUUACACUUCCUGCGUCAACUAAACAAAGUGGUUUCCAAACCAUACUGUAAACACGGACGUAAUUCGUCUCUUAAGGCGGGUAUAUUCGGUCUAGGUCGAGGUAACGAAGUAUAAACGAGGUGAACCCUGUAAGGUGGUUGGCUCCACUAGUACCAACCACUGUCGGAGUUCCUACUGUAGCAAACACCUUUCUCUCGUCCUCGUAAGUGAACGGAUGAACUGCUUUGUCCCGCUAUGCUGGGGGUGCUAAGAAACCGACUUCUACAAUUCGGACUGAAGUACCACAGAAGUGAGUGGCUUCAUGACAGCCACGACCUCCUCGUAAAGCUACACCGAGGUCACAGACAGCGGCUCUCAUCUUAUACU